CGACCGAGUCCCCAUGUCAGGCGGGAUUACCCGCUGAGUUUAA
rnacentral:rRNA from 1 species